AUUGCCCUAGUAACGGCGAGUGAAGCGGCAACAGCUCAAAUUUGAAAUCUGGCACUUGUGCCCGAGUUGUAAUUUGUAGAGGAUGCUUUUGGCGACGCGCCUUCCGAGUUCCCUGGAACGGGACGCCAUAGAGGGUGAGAGCCCCGUCCGGUCGUGCGCCUAGCCUCUGUAAAGCUCCUUCGACGAGUCGAGUAGUUUGGGAAUGCUGCUCUAAAUGGGAGGUAUACGUCUUCUAAAGCUAAAUACCGGCCAGAGACCGAUAGCGCACAAGUAGAGUGAUCGAAAGAUGAAAAGCACUUUGAAAAGAGGGUUAAAUAGUACGUGAAAUUGCUGAAAGGGAAGCGCUUAUGACCAGACUUGGGCGCGGCGGAUCAUCCGGCGUUCUCGCCGGUGCACUCCACCGCCCCAGGCCAGCAUCAGUUCGCGCCGGGGGACAAAGGCUUCGGGAAUGUGGCUCCCUCGGGAGUGUUAUAGCCCGUUGCGUAAUACCCUGGUGCGGACUGAGGUCCGCGCUCUGCAAGGAUGCUGGCGUAAUGGUCAUCAGUGACCCGUCUUGAAACACGGACCAAGGAGUCGUCUUCGUAUGCGAGUGUUCGGGUGUCAAACCCCUACGCGGAAUGAAAGUGAACGUAGGAGAGAGCUUCGGCGCAUCUCCGACCGAUCCUGAUGUUCUCGGAUGGAUUUGAGUAAGAGCAUACGGGGCCGGACCCGAAAGAAGGUGAACUAUGCCUGUGUAGGGUGAAGCCAGAGGAAACUCUGGUGGAGGCUCGCAGCGGUUCUGACGUGCAAAUCGAUCGUCAAACAUGGGCAUGGGGGCGAAAGACUAAUCGAACCUUCUAGUAGCUGGUUUCCGCCGAAGUUUCCCUCAGGAUAGCAGUGUUGAACUCAGUUUUAUGAGGUAAAGCGAA
rnacentral:rRNA from 1 species